rnacentral:misc_RNA from 1 species
AAGUCGUAACAAGGUUUCCGUAGGUGAACCUGCGGAAGGAUCAUUAACACGUAUCCAACGUUUAACCACCCCGUUUCACCUGUGGCCCUCUCUGGACUUAAAACCCCAGGAUAAGGGGGCAGUUCUGGGUUCGCCGCCUGGUUUUCGUCAUACCGAUGCGUUGCAGAAGUUACUUUUGUCCGGAUGCAUCGCCGGGAGGUCCUCUCUCUUGCUAAGGUAGGUAAAUUAAUACCUCGCAACGUAGUUGGAUAUAGACAAUCGAACCAACCACCGGGAAAAAUAUGACUAUUCUUCCCUUUCGUGCUUCGGCUUCGGCCGGAGACGGAAACCCCGAACAACUGCGAACAAUGGAUAUCUUGACUCCC